GGAGGUGUCCUUGCCCAUGGCAGGGGGUGGCACUGGGCGAGCUUUGAGGUCCCUCCCAAUCCAAAGGAUUUUAGGAUUCUGUGAUCCCGUAAGUCCGAUCUAACACGAGACCUGCAGCUGCCACGCUCUGAUCUGGGAUCAGAGCACCAGGCUGGGCUCAACACAAGCCAGUGCUGAUGCCAGGCUUGCAGCCAAGGCUGGCACAGCUCAGUAAUACCCACAGGAGCUGCUGGAGCCUCAGCAGAGGAGCCAGAGCCGGGUCAGUCGGGAGCUCCCGGCGACUGGAAUUGCUCAGAGGCAGGAGAAGAUCCAGGCUGGAGGUGUUUGGGAGCAUGAGCCUUUCUAGGAAUUUCCAGGGAAUUUGGAGUUCAGCCUUUUCCUCACGUCCUCAGAAUGAGCCUCACACGAGCCAGAUGUUUGCAGUCACCGGGCCAAGGAUGCAGCAGAGCUUCCUUAAUGCUCCCUGACACGUAUUCCCAUGUUUUCCUCCAUGGAAAAUACCAAUAAUAAGCAUAAGAGAAACAUCUCCAUUAAACCCUGAGAUCAGAGCUCUAGAAAAACAAGCACAGCAGAAAGAUCUCUGUUAAAUCCUGAGAGCAGAGCUCUAGAAAAUCAGGAUUUUUGACUUUAAUUCCUCAACAAAAGAGCAGGGGGGUUAUAAAGCAGAUUAUUCCCGGUGGGAAUGUGCUUGGGAGGAUAACACCAACAGCCUUUCCCAGCUCUCCAAAUUCCCAGAAAUGGGAUUUUCUUGCUUGUCUGAAACCAGGUCGAUACCAUUAAUGAAAGAUUCCCAGUGGAGUGUUUAACUGAGAGGUAUUUUAAGACAGCAAUUAAAGGAAAUAUCUAUGAAACAACAGAAUUAAUUACCUAUUAUUGAGUAGUAAUUACAGCAAACCUCAUUCUGGUGAUUUUGGUCCCUGAAUACCAAUAAUUAGAGCCCACUGUCACACCUCAGCAGGCUUUGGGUGCUCAAAAAUAGCCAUAAUUAGACAAAAGACAGAUUCAUCUGCAGAAAUAACGAGUUCUGUAUCAUUUUCCCAACCCCACACCUCCAAAUAUCUUUGUUUUGCUUUCAAACCCAGCCAAACCAAGCUUUUCCUCUAGUCAUCAAAAUUAAAAUACAACAUCAUUAAAUUCCCACCAGGUGCAGCUGGAGAGGGAAAAGCUGAAUUUUCCCAUUAUUUGCCACGAAAGGGAGAAGAAUCCCAGUUUUUCCGAGCGGGGCAGAGGUGACCCAAUCAGAUAUUCCCAAUAAAUCACACUUGGUUUCCCUGGAAAGACGCA
rnacentral:lncRNA from 1 species